rnacentral:tRNA from 2 species
CGGGGUGUGGCGCAGCUGGUAGCGCGCGUGGUUUGGGACCACGAGGCCCAGAGUUCGAAACUCUGCACUCCGACCA